UACGAAGGGGGCUAGCGUUGUUCGGAUUUACUGGGCGUAAAGCGCACGUAGGCGGCUUUUUAAGUCAGGGGUGAAAUCCCGGGGCUCAACCCCGGAACUGCCCUUGAAACUGGAGAGCUAGAAUCUUGGAGAGGCGAGUGGAAUUCCGAGUGUAGAGGUGAAAUUCGUAGAUAUUCGGAAGAACACCAGUGGCGAAGGCGACUCGCUGGACAAGUAUUGACGCUGAGGUGCGAAAGCGUGGGGAGCAAACAGG
rnacentral:rRNA from 1 species